rnacentral:rRNA from 1 species
GUGAACGCUGGCGGCAGGCCUAACACAUGCAAGUCGCACGGCAGCACAGUAAGAGCUUGCUCUUACGGGUGGCGAGUGGCGGACGGGUGAGGAAUACAUCGGAAUCUACUUUUUCGUGGGGGAUAACGUAGGGAAACUUACGCUAAUACCGCAUACGACCUACGGGUGAAAGCAGGGGAUCUUCGGACCUUGCGCGAUUGAAUGAGCCGAUGUCGGAUUAGCUAGUUGGCGGGGUAAAGGCCCACCAAGGCGACGAUCCGUAGCUGGUCUGAGAGGAUGAUCAGCCACACUGGAACUGAGACACGGUCCAGACUCCUACGGGAGGCAGCAGUGGGGAAUAUUGGACAAUGGGCGCAAGCCUGAUCCAGCCAUACCGCGUGGGUGAAGAAGGCCUUCGGGUUGUAAAGCCCUUUUGUUGGGAAAGAAAAGCAGCAGGUUAAUACCCCGCUGUUCUGACGGUACCCAAAGAAUAAGCACCGGCUAACUUCGUG